CACACACACACAAGCACGUAGAGACCUGGGGAAAAAGCAACACUGAGAAAUCUACCCUCUGAAACCGACGAAGAUGGGCAACAGAGGCUAGCUCAGGUGGCAAUUUUUAAGGAAAAAUAAAAGGAAGUGCGUGGAGACCUGGGGAAAAAGCAACACGGAGAAAUCUACCCUCUGAAACUGAGAAAGAAGCGCAACAGAGGCUAGCUCAGGUGGCAAUCUUUAAGCAAAAGAAACACACAAGGGCGUGGAGAGCUGGGGAAAAAGCAACACUGAGAAAUCCACCCUCUGAAACGGACGAAGAUGGGCAACAGAGGCUAGCUCAGGUGGCAAUCUUUAAGCAAAAGAAACACACAAGGGCGUGGAGACCUGGGGAAAAAGCAACACGGAGAAAUCCACCCUCUGAAACUGAGGAAGAUGGGCAACAGAGGCUAGCUCAGGUGGCAAUCGUUAAGCAAAAGAAACACACAAGGGCGUGGAGACCUGGGGAAAAAGCAACACGGAGAAAUCCACCCUCUGAAACUGAGGAAGAUGGGCAAGAGAGGCUAGCUCAGGUGGCAAUCGUUAAGCAAAAACAAAACACAAAGGCGUGGAGACCUGGGGAAAAAGCAACCCUGAAAUAUCUACCCUCUGAAACUGAGGAAGA
rnacentral:lncRNA from 1 species